GACGAACGCUUGCGGCGUGCCUAAUACAUGCAAGUCGAGCGAAGCGGCGGAUGGGUGAGUAACGCGUGGGUAACCUGCCCUUACGUCUGGGAUACCCUAUGGAAACAGAUGCUAAUACCGGAUACUAAAGGAUGGACCUGCGAUGCAUUAGCUAGUUGGUAAGGUAACGGCUUACCAAGGCGAUGAUGCAUAGCCGGGUUGGGAGACUGAUCGGCCACAUGGUGACUGAGACACGGCCCAAACUCCUACGGGAGGCAGCAGGAGGGAAUCGUCCACAAUGGACGAAAGUCUGAUGGAGCAACGCCGCGUGAGUGAAGAAGGUUUUCGGAUCGGAAAGCUCUGUUGUUGGUGAAGCGGUAAUCAACCAGAAAGUCACGGCUAACUACGUGCCAGCCGCCGCGGUAAUAC
rnacentral:rRNA from 1 species